rnacentral:rRNA from 1 species
GCUGUAAACGAUGUCGAUUUGGAGUUUGGGGGCAUGACCCUUGGGCUCCGGAGCUAACGCGUUAAAUCGACCGCCUGGGGAGUACGGCCGCAAGGUUAAAACUCAAAUGAAUUGACGGGGGCCCGCACAAGCGGUGGAGCAUGUGGUUUAAUUCGAUGCAACGCGAAGAACCUUACCUGGUCUUGACAUCCAUAGAAUCUUUCAGAGAUGAGAGAGUGCCUUCGGGAGCUAUGAGACAGGUGCUGCAUGGCUGUCGUCAGCUCGUGUUGUGAAAUGUUGGGUUAAGUCCCGCAACGAGCGCAACCCCUAUCCUUUGUUGCCAGCACGUAAUGGUGGGAACUCAAAGGAGACUGCCGUUGAUAAAGCGGAGGAAGGUGGGGACGACGUCAAGUCAUCAUGGCCCUUACGACCAGGGCUACACACGUGCUACAAUGGCGUAUACAAAGGGAUGCGAAGGUGCGAACUGGAGCGGACCUCACAAAGUACGUCUAAGUCCGGAUUGGAGUCUGCAACUCGACUCCAUGAAGUCGGAAUCGCUAGUAAUCGUGAAUCAGAAUGUCACGGUGAAUACGUUCCCGGGCCUUGUACACACCGCCCGUCACACCAUGGGAGUGGGUUGCACCAGAAGUAGAUAGCUUAACCUUCGGGAGGGCGUUUACCACGGUGUGGUUCAUGACUGGGGUGAAGUCGUAACAAGGUAACCA